rnacentral:tRNA from 1 species
CAAGAUAUAGCUUAGCCAAAGCACCUGGUUUACACCUAGAAGACUUCACACACUGUGAAUAUCUUGA